CUGCUCCAGAGAAGCAGCCUUUGUUCCUCAGUUCAUCGCAACACUCAGCCUGUCAGUCAGGUUGUGGGAUCCCUCCUAUCCAGGAACUGUAUGCUGUUGUCCCGGUUCUGACACUUUCCCUCUGAGUCCUUGGACACCUUACCUAACCUCUUGGAAGCUCCUGUCUGUGAAGGGUGUGCACAGAGAGCUUCGGUAGCCUGCGAAGCAGCCAUUUUCACUUCCACGGAGCAGAUGCUGGCCUGGGUGCUGGAAUAUGGAAAUGAGGAAGAUCCUGCCUGAGGAUUUCAUGACAGUGCUGCGAUUACCGACGUGAGCCACUGUGCCCAGCCUCACUUUAAAAAAAAAAAAAGGUUAUGAAGCAUCUCAACACAAGACCUCCUUUGCUCAUCACAACCACCCAGUGAAGCAGGCAAGACAACAGAAACUCCCCACCUGUGAUAGAUGUGAGGCCUGAAGUCUCCCACAUACCCACGGCAGAUGCAACGCACAGCGGUGACCAAUGGUGAAGGAUCUAAAACCUGAAAAGAGGCCAAAUGAUUCCUCAAAACCACGCAAGUACGAAGUAGCAGAGCGGAUCUCAAAUCCAGGUGUGUCUGACUUCCAGCCUAAUGGCUUUUCUUAAAAACACCCCCAAACUCUUGGUAACAUCUAUGCAAUGAAAAGGGUUGUCAUGAAAACUGCUUCCCAGUUUGUUAAAUUCUUAUGCAGGUCUCCAGUGUCAGAAACGCUGAGUAUCACUAAUCUCAAGACCUUCUCUCUGCUAUACGAGCUCUGGCAGAGCUUGUCUCCAAGGGCUAGACAGGAAAAAAAAAAUCUGGGUUCAAUUAAAAUAUAUCAAUAAAGAGAACUAAAAGGAGCUCCAAAACGUUGCUGCCCUUCUGCGGGCUGUCUGUGUGUAAUGCCGGCUCCUUCACUCUUUUAUGGCACCAUGAUUGUGUUUUACCCUCCCGACUGUUAACUGCCAACUGUUAACUGUUAACUGCCCAAGGUUGCCCUGCUGAUGUCAUGCCUGACCAUAUGACUUGCUCCAGCCAAUGAAAUGUAAGCAGAAGUGACAUAUGCAGCAUGACCAGUGGAAGCUUCGAAGAGCUAUUGCCAAUUUCCACCCUCUCUCUGGAAACUGUCAUUAGGGUUAGGGAAACUGUCAUGAGAUCUGCAUAUUUUAGAUAGAGGCUGCUUGCCUUAUUUGGGCACCUAAUGAAAAAGACAUGGAGGCCAGGUGCGGUGGCUCAUGUCUGUAAUCCCAGCACUUUGGGAGGCCAAGGCGAGUGGAUCACCUGAGGUCAGGAGUUCGAGACCAGCCUGACCAACAUGGCAAAACCCCGUCUGUACUAAAAGUGCAAACACAAAGGGAACUGCGUGGCUUGUUUCUACCUGAACAUUGUCAAGUGAUUUCAUCCUUUGAAACACAGUUGUGAAGUGUGUCCAGCAGUCUGAGAACAAGAAGAAGAAGAAAAUCUAAUCCUUCAGGGUGUCUGUGUGCCAGCCCUGCUCUCAGCACUUCCCAUGUGGAACUCCUUUACUUCUCCUAACAACUCCAUGACAUGGGUUAGACUGUGAUUGUUCCCAUAUUGUUGGUAGGGAAACUGAGGCAUGCAGGUGUUACAGAGCUCUCUCAAGUGGCAAGCUUUCUGGGUGGUUACAGAGUGGCAGAGCUGGGGUAUCCCAUGAUGUCACCACACUGCUAUAUGGAAAAGAACAUUAAUCGAGCACCUACGUGCUUGAUUCUCUUAAUUCUGUGACUGAACUCUCAAAACACCCUGGGUAAGCACUAUCAUCUCCUAUUUUCACAAGUGAAAAAACUGGGAUUCAAAAAAAUUAAGUGACUUACCAAAUAUUACAGAGCUAGUAAGCCAAGACUUGAACACUGAGAUGGAAUUCUACCUUUUAAGGUGGCUAAGCAACAGAAGGAUGUUCCUUUCCCAAGGGGGUAAGAAGCAGUGGCCAUGUUCAGCACAAUUGUCCUAUCACAGGUUCAUGGCAGGGACCGAGCAGUGAGGAUGGGCACUGCCCUGUGUCCUAGCAGAGGGCUGCCUUCUGGCUCCCCAGCCUUGGCCAGCAGCCCUUCUAUCUUCAUGCCAUGACCUAUUUUUGUUCACCCAGUUAGUGUAUGGCCUAUUUCUUUCCUUAAGAAUUACUUCAUAACUUUCACAGAGUAAUAGCACAUGCUGAGCACAGCAUUCAUGAACUUGGACACACGCACACAAAAUGUCCCUUUAAAUUCACAGAGCAGUAUCUGAGAUCCAGGUAGAAAGACCAAAAGGAAAAUUAAGAACAGACUCUCAGACCUGCCUUCCCUUUGCAUUCAGGUUGGUUUCCUUUUUACAACUGCCCAAGUCAUGAGUUCAUAGGGCCUGGAUGGCUGUACCGGAUUGCUCUCCAGCUGGUCUCUCUGCAUCCAGAAAUUUCUACAACCUACUGGGGUAAAAUCUUUCUCAACCCUGCUUUUCAUCAUCACAUCUUAAAUAUCUCGAGUUGGUUCCCUAUUGCCAAAAAAAAUCCAUUGUCCAUGUAGGGUUCUUCUGCCGAAACGAGGAAAGAGUGAGUUAAAUGUUGGUAGGUGAUAUAGAGAUAGUAAUUAGGCAAUAUAAUUCGAUGUUGUUGAAAGAGCUGAGCUAUGAAAUGCAUUGUGAUAAAGGGGCUGCCUGUGUAAGUAAAUGGGUAUAAUGAGGUGUAAAACUCCCUUUCUCUCUCUCUUUCUGCUUCAUAAGCCUUUCUGCUUCUCAAGUCCAGACCUGCUGUUUUUGGGGUUUCCUUCCAAUUUUUUUGCUGCUUCCCUGGGGCCUUGGCUCUUGGGCCUGCUGCCUCUUCCCACUCUACACCUUUGGAUUCCUUAUCUUUGGCUCCACCUUAUUGCUCCAUUCUCCAAAGACAAAUCCACAAGGCAUAGGAUUUUACAGAAUAUGGGGUUACAGAAACAGCAUAGGGAAGUGUAAAAGCCUAGAAGCUUCUUACAGACGCAGCCCCUUGUCUGUAGCUCCUGACUCCCACUUAAAUGUCUGUUGGAAGCACCCUGGGGUAGCAGAACCCAGCUCAGAAGAUGGGGCUUAUCCACCAUGCCUUUUCCUAACCUGACACCCACCCAGAUAAUCUUUUCAAUAUGCAAACUAGAGCGUAUCACCCCCUGCUCAGAGCCUUUCUGUGACCUCCCAUUUUGCUUCCCAGGACUCCUUGCUCCUUAGCCAGGUCUCCAGGUCCUCCGUGAUCAGGUCUCUGCUCUUCUGCAGCCUCAUCUCUGCCAUUCUUCACCUUUUGUGCUCCAACCCAAUCUGGUUUUCUUCUCAUGCUUUGAACACCCCAAGUCUGUCUGCUUCAGGAGCUUCGUACUGGCUAAUCAUUCACCACAGCAUACUCCCAUCUAUACGGCUGGCUCUUAUAUUAUGGGUCUCAGCUAAAAUGUCAUCCCUUCAAAGAGACCUUCUUGGACCACCCCCGCCAUUCUCUAUCCUAUUUCUCUCUUUUAUUUUCUUUGAAGCACUUACCCACUUUCAGAAACUAUCUGGCUUGCUCAUGUGUUUGUCUCUAGAUUGUCUACUUCCCCUCCUAGACUGUACUCUCCACAAGAGAGCAAAGCUGUGUCUGUUGCAUUCACUGUUGUCUUCCCAGAAGCAAGCAGCAUGCUGGAGACCCUCAAAUACAUGUGAAAUGAAGGGACACCUUGUGUUAUUUCACCUGUUUCCACCUGGUUCCCAAGUGGCAAGCUUGCAUUGAGGUUACAAAGUGGCAAAGCUGGGAUAUCACAUGAUGUCACCAUGAUGCUAUAUGAAAUGUAACAUUAAUUGAGUACCUAUGUGACCAGUUCUUUAAUUCUGUAAGUGAACUCUCAAAAAACCCUAGGUAAGUAUUAUCAACUCGAACUUUAACGGAUGAGGAAACUGGAAUUUUUUAAAAAAUGACUUAACCAAACAUCACAGAGCUGUAAACCAGGAUUUGAAUGGGUGAGCUGCACUCAGCCUUCAUCUCAAGUCAGUUUGCCUCUUUCUCCAAGAAGCCACAGUUGAUCCUGACCACAUCACAUAUGAGUUGCCUGGAUUGCAGUCAUUCAUUCACUAAGCAUCUUUUAGGAGGUCACAUGCCAGGCACCGUGUUAGGUAAUGAUUUCUCCAAGUCACAGGAGCCGUGGUUCUGACUUUAGAAAGUUUCUCAUCUGAUGGGAGGGCAGGCAAGUAAAUCAGUAAGGGUGGUCCCUGUCGGGACACUGGUUGAGAAAUACCCAGGAACACUCUGAUUGAGAAAUACCCAAAGUGCAAAGUGACAGGGACUAGAGGCAUCUCCACUGGACCAGAGAGCUCUGGAUUCGUCUUGAGCUAAGUCUCUGGAGGUAGGUGUCAGCUACAAGGAGAAAAGCUGUAUAUUUUGAGAUAUGGGAUGCAGGGCCUUUUAGUUCCAUAAAUAAGAGAACUAUGGUGUGAAUACCACAUGCCCUGGGCUGAACUAAGUGGGCUCUAGGGGAAGGUAUACUGGGCAGGGAGUUUGGAGAACUGGUUUCUGUCUAAUCCUUCUCUAACUCUGUGACCUUGAAUGCAUCAUUUCCCCUCUGAGUCUCAGAUUCUCUUUCUGGCUGGCAUUUAAUGAAACCUAAAUAUUCUAGACCUUCUACUUGUUCCAUAAGUGCUCAGUCCUACACUCACUCUCCUCUGGCACCAAUAUACUGAUUACUCAUUUUAUGCCCAGCAGAGCACUGCGUGUUUUGAAAUAUACAAAUAGUGGGAAACGAAAUCUUUGUUCUGGAUGCAGUUAUAAUUUGGAAAGCGAGGAAAUAAAUUAUAACAAGGGGAAAAAACAGACACAGAGGGAUUGAAAUGCAUAACAAUAGAGAUGAAACACGAAGAGUGAUAAAUGAAGAUUGAGUGUGCACACCUUCUGGAGGAGCCCUGAUUGAGUAUUUUAAAAUACUACUAAAGUCAUGCCGUGUGACUUCUGAAGCUAGCUCCUAAGAAGUCCUUGCAGCUUCUGCCUGCGACUCUUAGAACACUUGCUUUGAAGGAUGCCAGAUGCUGUCUUAAAAGUCUGAGCACUCUGAAACCAUCAUGCUGUGAGGAAGCCCAAGCUAACCACAUGGGCAAAAAAGAUGCCCUCUGACUGCCACCAUUUGAGACACUCUAAUUAAGAACUGCCUCAUUGAGCCCAUGAGGCCCUGUGAAUGAUAAUAAUAAAUUGUUUUUAACCACUAUGUUUUUGGAUUUGUUAUAAGUUUAUAGAUAACAAGAAAAAGUUAUAUUAGCAUGGUAAUAAAAUUAUGGAUAUGUGUAAGUUUGGUGUUUUGUUUCUUUUUUUUUUUUACACUAAGCCUAUAUUACUGUUGUAAUUUAGGAAAUCACUUGUUUUCCUCCAGCACUUCAAUGUAAGAGUGGCACUACUUAGAAUGUACUUCUUAAGAUAUGGCU
rnacentral:lncRNA from 1 species